GGCUCCGGCCUGGCUCCCACGGCGCAGCCUGGGGCACCGUCCAUGGCAGGCACUGUGGCCCCAGGAGGGGUGAGCGGCCCUUCCCCAGCCCAGCUGGGAGCCCCAGCCCUCGGUGGGCAGCAGUCAGUCUCCAAUAAACUUCUGGCCUGGAGCGGGGUCCUGGAGUGGCAGGAGAAACCCAAACCUGCCUCAGUGGAUGCCAACACCAAGCUGACGCGGUCACUGCCCUGCCAGGUCUACGUGAAUCAUGGCGAGAACCUGUAGGUGACAGUCAGGGGUGGGGUGCGGUGGGGCUGGGGCUGGCCCCCUCCUCACACCUCUCCUGGCAUCGCCCCCCAGGAAGACAGAGCAGUGGCCCCAGAAGCUGAUCAUGCAGCUCAUCCCCCAGCAGCUGCUGACCACCCUGGGCCCUUUGUUCCGGAACUCAAGGAUGGUCCAGUUCCAUUUCACCAACAAGGACCUGGAGUCUCUCAAAGGCCUCUACCGCAUCAUGGGCAACGGCUUC
rnacentral:sRNA from 1 species